AUGCUGCAUCUGCCCACCUAGGAAGCCAUGCGACGCCUCACCCAAUUGAAAAUGCUGGAGAUUUGGAAGACAAUGAGCAGUCCAAGAUCGACCAUAUUCCAUUUGUUGACAUACAGGAUAGCGGGCGGCCAGAUUGCUCUGAUUUCGAAGACGAAGACUAACUCAGGAAGCUUGCAAGAAGUUUGCAUUUGGGAAAAUAAUUGAGUUGAUGACAACUGUUGCCAAGGCACUUAAGGCACGAGGGACAACAUAUCUGUUGUGUUCAGCUGGAUGAAAAAUUUCAUUAUGAAGUUUUCAUCCACUCCCAAGCCAACAGAAGUUUUAGCUGCUAACAAGAAGAUUGCAUCUCAGAAAAUAGCGAAGUUGAUGACAACUGAUACCAAGGCACUUCAGGUUUGC